ensembl:lncRNA
CGGAGGAGUAGGGUGCGCACCAAGGAAUGCGCCAGGUCACUGUGAGGAGCAGCCGGGGAAAGCAACGAGGACGCUGCAGAAUGGGAGGGUGAGUGGGGUUAGCCAGACAAGGAGAGGCAGGAAAGGCAUCCCAAGCAGAGGGAACAGCAUGUGCAAAGGGCCUAAUGUAGGAAGGAAAUAAAAGAAGUCCUCAUGCCUGAAACCCAGAGGAAAGGAACGUGGCCCAGAAUGAGAGCCACAAGAAGUCAGUGGGGCCCGGGGAGCCCUGAAGCCUUCGGUCAGGAGUUUUGCCUUUAUCUGAAGAGCAAUGGGGAGCCAUUGAAAGUUUGAAACAGAGGAGAGAUGUCACCACAACUUUGUUUUGAAAGAUCAUACUGGAGGCAGCAGAGAGACAGGAGAGGGACACUGCAGAGCUGGUGUGGGAACCAAGCAUUUGGUGCCACUGCCUCCGAGAAGGAAGGAUGCUCCAGGAAGCAAAAGAAAACCAGAGUCAGUUCUUGGCUUUUGGGUUUCAAAAGUCUUGUCCUUACAGAGGGGAAGAGAACUCAAGGAGAGCAGAGCUGGAAGCAGCUCUGAUGAAGAGGAAAGCUUCCCAGAAAACUUGCCCUCCCACCUUGUCCAUCCCUGAGAAGGCCGGAGCACUCGGACCAGACAUCCUCCGAGCCCCGUGCUGGGGUUCCCUAGAGCCACGCUGCAUUUGUGUGAAGGCAAUGACCCCCCGCAGUUUGAUGCACAGGCCAAUCCCCUGGGAUCUUCUUAGAGCGGCUUUCUGACCAGCAGGUCUGCAGUGGGCACAGAGAUUCACAUUUCUAAUAAACCCCCAGGGGAAGCCAGAGGCUGCCAGUCCAGCGACUACACUUUGAGUAGCAGGGUUCUAGAAGAUGCUAAGGAAAGACCUAGAAUGCAGUGGCAGAAUCACAGCGGUUUGUCGACAGGCCCGAGGGCUGGCUGAAGGGUAAACGCCACCUCACCGGGGGCUUCUGUUAGAACUGUCUUUCAGGAAAACCAAAUAGCUUCAGAGGAUGGAGGAAAGCUCUUUUUUUACAGCAGAAUGCAAGCUAAUGAAAUGUCGAAGGAAUGACAGAAUUGGACAAGCACCGCUUUACAGCCCCCAGGAAACGACUGACUCAGUCGGGGAGCUUCAACUUGGGGACCGGGGGAUGGAGUGAAAACCACAAUGAGAGCGACCUCGCAGCCCCCAGGCUGGCUCCAGUAAAAAGGACGCAGAGAGGAGAAUCGGAACCUUCAGACGCUGCUGGCAGGAAGGUGAAAUGGUGCAGCUGAUUUGGGAAAACAGUACAGCAGGUCUUCCACGGGACGCCUGGGCUGGCCUCUGUAGGUCAGCGCCGUGGAAGUAGUGGGCAGGGUGGUCACUGCUGGAGGUUCGAAGAGACUCGAGACACAACGACAAAAUGCAACGACUCAAUGAAGGAACCCAACGUGAAACAGCUGCUCUAACAGAUAUCUGGGGACAACUGGGGGACUGGAAUUCAGAUUGCCUCUUAGACGCUCUGCUCGGCUGGAAAUGGCCCCCAAAGCCGUCCGCACCCUCAUCCCCAGGACCCGUGAGUACGUUCCCGUCCGUGCAGAAGUGACUUUGCAGGUGUGGAGAGGGGCCCUGAGGUGGGAGAUUGUCCUGGUUCAGCCUACCCACAAGGGUCCUGCUGAGAGGGCAGCAGGAGGGGCCGAGAGAAGGAGGAGAUGUGUCAACAGAAGCAGGUCAGAGAGACGUGACCUUCCUGGCUUUGAGGGUCAGGAAAGGCAGCCGUGAGCCAAGGAAUGCAGUGCCUCCAGCAGCCGGAAAAAGACAAGGAAAUACAUUCUCCCCAGAGCCUCCAGCAGGAACCAGCCCUGCUGACACCGUGAUUUUAGCCUCUGAGACCCGUUUCAGGCUUCUGACCUCCCGAACUGUAAGGUAAUAAAUCUGUGUUGUUCCAAGUCACUAAAUCUAUGGCCGUUUGUGACAGUGGCCAUAGGAAAAUAACACAGAUGCUAUCUGGGAAUUAUUGUUCAUUUGUUGGGGUGUGAUGACGGCACCGCAUUUAGCAGGAGAAUGCCCUCAUCCCGAGAAGAUGCAGACCACAGCAUUUAGGGGGGAAGUGUCGUUACUCUCUACAGAGGAAGCAAGUAAAGCAAAAGUCAGCAACGCCCGGUUCUGCUGGUUCUACGCUACUGUUUCUACCUGCUUAAACUUCGC